rnacentral:rRNA from 1 species
UGGGCCCGAGUUUGAUCCUGGCUCAGAACGAACGCUGGCGGCAGGCCUCAAACAUGCAAGUCUAGGGGGUGUAGCAAUACAUCACCGGCGGACGGGUGCGUAACACGUGGGAAUAUACCUUUCGGUACGGAACAACUGAGGGAAACUUCAGCUAAUACCGUAUACGUCCUAACGGAGAAAGAUUUAUCGCCGAAGGAUUAGCCCGCGCUCGAUUAGCUAGUUGGUGAGGUAAUGGCUCACCAAGGCUACGAUCGAUAGCUGUUCUGAGAGGAAGAUCAGCCACACUGGGACUGAGACACGGCCCAGACUCCUACGGGAGGCAGCAGUUGGGAAUCUUGGACAAUGGGGGAAACCCUGAUCCAGCCAUGCCGCGUGAGUGAUGAAGGCCUUCGGGUUGUAAAGCUCUUUUACCCGGGAAGAUAAUGACUGUACCGGGAGAAUAAGCUCCGGCUAACUUCGUGCCAGCAGCCGCGGUAA